rnacentral:rRNA from 1 species
CAGUCGUAUCUCCCGAGAUCGUGAGUUACCCGUGGAUAUCCGUGGUAAUUCUAGAGCUAAUACAUGCGCAUAGCUCGCUAGCGCGCGUCGCUCGUCUCCGCCCGCGCGUUCACGCGCGCGGGCGAUCGUCGGCGCGUGCUGCGAGCGCUUUUAUUAGACCGAGACCGAUCGACGCCGUCCGCGCGCAGGCCGCUUCGCGCGGCAGCGCCCGGUAGCGGUGGCGAACCUUCGGCGACUCUGGAUAACCGAGCCGAUCGCCCGGCCUCGCGCCGGCGACGUAUCUCUCAGGUGUCUGACCUAUCAAUCGACGAAGGUCGGCGAUCUGCCUACCUCGAUUACGACGGGUAACGGGGAAUCGGGGUUCGAUUCCGGAGAGGGAGCCCGAGAAACGGCUACCACAUCCAAGGAAGGCAGCAGGCGCGCAAAUUACCCAAUCCCGAAACGGGGAGGUAGUGACGAAAAAUAACGAUGUCGGGUCGCUACGCGGCGCGACGAUCGAAAUGAGUCGGCGUUAAACCCGUCGGCGAGUACCUAUCGGAGGGCAAGUCUGGUGCCAGCAGCCGCGGUAAUUCCAGCUCCGAUAGCGUAUGCUAAAGUUGUCGCGGUUAAAAAGCUCGUAGUUGGAUCACGGUUCGUCGGCUCUCGCCGUCGCCUCACGGCUUCGCGCGAUCGUCCGGAACCUUCCGCCCGACGUCCCGCGGUUCCCUUCGCCGGGUGUCCGCGCGUGGACGCGGGCACGGUUACUUCGAGGAAAUUAGAGUGCUCAGAGGCGGGUCCGUAUGCGGCCCGAAUAUCACAGCAUGGAAUAACGGAAUCCGGCCUCGUUCCGGCGCGCGCGCGGCGGUCGCGGCGGUUGCGGAGGCCCGUGCGGGCGCGCGAGCGCGGGCGCUGGCGCGUCGAGCGUCGGCGUUUCGCGCGCGCGCGCGCGAGCGCGGUCGGCCCGCGCCGUCCGGCGGGCCGUCGAUCUCGGUGCGCGUCGGACGCGAGUCUUCGUUCGUUGGUCUCGAGACUCGAGGCGUCGAUUAAGAGGGACGGCCGGGGGCGUUCGUAUCGCGACGCGAGAGGUGAAAUUCUUGGACCGUCGCGAGACGCACUAGAGCGAAAGCAUUCGCCGAGUAUGUUUUCUUUAGUCAAGAACGAAAGUCAGAGGUUCGAAGACGAUCAGAUACCGUCGUAGUUCUGACCAUAAACGGUGUCGCCUACUCGUCGGCCGCGGAUCUCGAUCGACCCGGCCGGCGACCCCCGGUAAACCUUCGAGGCUUCCGACUCCGGGGGAAGUAUGUUCGCAAAGAUGAAACUUAAAGGAAUUGACGGAAGGGCACCACCAGGAGUGGAGCCUGCGGCUUAAUUCGACUCAACACGGGAAAUCUCACCCGGCCCGGACCACGCGAGGAUUGACAGAUCGAUAGCUCUUUCUCGAUUCGCGGGAUGGUGGUGCAUGGCCGUUCUUAGUUGGUGGAGCGAUUUGUCUGGUUAAUUCCGAUAACGAACGAGACUCUAGCCUGCUAAAUAGACGGGCGAUAGGUCCGCUUCGCCGUCGCGCGACGGACACCGCGCGUUUCCGGAGGGGGCGCGCGCGCGCGGUUCCCGCCUGGUGCGCGAGUCGGGUCGCGCCGUUUUCGCGCUCGCGCGUGGUCGUCGUUCGCGGCGGCGCGCGCGGGCGCGCGUUCGGCCGACGCGCUUGCGGGCCGGGGCCGGGCAAUCGGGCGCCACCGCGCCUCCCGAGGGCGCGACGUCGCCCGCGCCUUCGCGGUCUUCUUAGAGGGACGACCGGCUUUUAGCCGUACGAGAUUGAGCGAUAACAGGUCUGUGAUGCCCUUAGAUGUCCGGGGCCGCACGCGCGCUACACUGCGCGGGACGGCGCGCCCCUACCCUGGGCCUCUACCGGCCCGGGUAACCGUCGAACCCCGCGCGUGCUCGGGAUAAGGCUUUGAAAUUCUCGCCUCCCAACGAGGAAUUCCUAGUAGGCGCGGGUCAUCAACCCGCGUCGAUUGCGUCUCUGCCCUUUGUACACACCGCCCGUCGCUACUACCGA